rnacentral:rRNA from 1 species
GACUAACGCUGGAGGCGUGCCUAAUACAUGAAAGUAGGACGCAGUUGCGAACGGGUGAGUAACGCGUAGGUAAAUGCCUAUUAGAGGGGGAUAACUAUUGGAAACGAUAGCUAAUACCGCAUACUAGUAGAUGGACCUGCGUUGUAUUAGCUAGUAGGUAGGGUAAUGGCCUACCUAGGCGACGAUACAUAGCCUACCUGAGAGGGUGAUCGGCCACACUGUGACUGAGCCACGUCCCAGACUCCUACGGGAGGCAGCAGUAGUGAAUCUUCGGGAAUGGGGGGAACCCUGACCGAGCAACGCCGAGUGAUUGAAGAAGUUUUUAGGAUCGUAAAGCUCUGUUGUUAAUGAAGCGGUACUUAACCAGAAAGGGACGGCUAACGACGUGCCAGCAGCCGCGGUAAUAC